AACGAACGCUGGCGGCAGGCCUAACACAUGCAAGUCGAGCGAGACCUUCGGGUCUAGCGGCGGACGGGUGAGUAACGCGUGGGAACGUGCCCUUUUCUACGGAAUAGCCUCGGGAAACUGAGCGUAAUACCGUAUACGCCCUUUGGGGGAAAGAUUUAUCGGAGAAGGAUCGGCCCGCGUUGGAUUAGGUAGUUGGUGGGGUAAUGGCCUACCAAGCCUACGAUCCAUAGCUGGUGUGAGAGGAUGAUCAGCCACACUGGGACUGAGACACGGCCCAGACUCCUACGGGAGGCAGCAGUGGGGAAUCUUAGACAAUGGGGGCAACCCUGAUCUAGCCAUGCCGCGUGAGUGAUGAAGGCCUUAGGGUUGUAAAGCUCUUUCAGCUGGGAAGAUAAUGACGGUACCAGCAGAAGAAGCCCCGGCUAACUCCGUG
rnacentral:rRNA from 1 species